UGGGGAAUAUUGCACAAUGAGCGAAAGCCUGAUGCAGCAACGCCGCGUGAGUGAUGAAGGCCUUCGGGUUGUAAAGCUCUGUCUUUUGGGACGAUAAUGACGGUACCAAAGGAGGAAGCCACGGCUAACUACGUGCCAGCAGCCGCGGUAAUACGUAGGUGGCAAGCGUUGUCCGGAUUUUACUGGGCGUAAAGGAUGCGUAGGCGGAUUUUUAAGUGAGAUGUGAAAACCCUAAGCUUAACUUGGGGGACUGCAUUUCAUACUGGAAAUCUAGAGUGCGGGAGAGGAGAAUGGAAUUCCUAGUGUAGCGGUGAAAUGCGUAGAGAUUAGGAAGAACACCAGUGGCGAAGGCGAUUCUCUGGACCGUAACUGACGCUGAGGCAUGAAAGCGUGGGUAGCAAACAGGAUUAGAUACCCUGGUAGUCCACGCCGUAAACGAUGAGUACUAGGUGUAGGAGGUAUCGACCCCUUCUGUGCCGCAGUUAACACAAUAAGUACUCCGCCUGGGAAGUACGAUCGCAAGA
rnacentral:rRNA from 1 species